rnacentral:rRNA from 1 species
AAUGAACGCUGGCGGUAGGCUUAACACAUGCAAGUCGGACGGAAACGAUGAAGUGCUUGCACUUCAGGCGUCGAGUGGCGGACGGGUGAGUAACGCGUGGGAAUCUACCCUAUAGUUGGGGACAACAUAUGGAAACGUAUGCUAAUACCGAAUGUGCUCUAAGGAGUAAAGGAGCCCUCUUCUUGAAAGGUUUCGCUAUAGGAUGAGCCCGCGUGAGAUUAGCUAGUGUAGGAAUGGCUUACAAGCAACGAUCUCUAGCUGGUUGAGAGGAUGAUCAGCCACACUGGGACUGAGACACGGCCCAGACUCCUACGGGAGGCAGCAGUGGGGAAUAUUGCACAAUGAGCGAAAGCUUGAUGCAGCCAUACCGCGUGUGUGAAGAAGGCCCGAGGGUUGUAAAAGCACUUUCCAAUUGUGAGGAAGAUAGUGUAGCGAAUAACUGC